rnacentral:rRNA from 1 species
UACGAAGGGGGCUAGCGUUGCUCGGAAUCACUGGGCGUAAAACGCACGUAGGCGGCUUGUUAAGUCAGGGGUGAAAUCCUGGAGCUCAACUCCAGAACUGCCUUUGAUACUGGCGAGCUUGAGUUCGGGAGAGGUGAGUGGAACUGCGAGUGUAGAGGUGAAAUUCGUAGAUAUUCGCAAGAACACCAGUGGCGAAGGCGGCUCACUGGCCCGAUACUGACGCUGAGGUGCGAAAGCGUGGGGAGCAAACAGG